rnacentral:rRNA from 1 species
CAGGCUUAACACAUGCAAGUCGAGGGGCAGCAUGGUCUUAGCUUGCUAAGGCCGAUGGCGACCGGCGCACGGGUGAGUAACACGUAUCCAACCUGCCGUCUACUCUUGGACAGCCUUCUGAAAGGAAGAUUAAUACAAGAUGGCAUCAUGAGUCCGCAUGUUCACAUGAUUAAAGGUAUUCCGGUAGACGAUGGGGAUGCGUUCCAUUAGAUAGUAGGCGGGGUAACGGCCCACCUAGUCUUCGAUGGAUAGGGGUUCUGAGAGGAAGGUCCCCCACAUUGGAACUGAGACACGGUCCAAACUCCUACGGGAGGCAGCAGUGAGGAAUAUUGGUCAAUGGGCGAGAGCCUGAACCAGCCAAGUAGCGUGAAGGAUGACUGCCCUAUGGGUUGUAAACUUCUUUUAUAAAGGAAUAAAGUCGGGUAUGGAUACCCGUUUGCAUGUACUUUAUGAAUAAGGAUCGGCUAACUCCGUGCCAGCAGCCGCGGUAAUACGGAGGAUCCGAGCGUUAUCCGGAUUUAUUGGGUUUAAAGGGAGCGUAGAUGGAUGUUUAAGUCAGUUGUGAAAGUUUGCGGCUCAACCGUAAAAUUGCAGUUGAUACUGGAUAUCUUGAGUGCAGUUGAGGCAGGCGGAAUUCGUGGUGUAGCGGUGAAAUGCUUAGAUAUCACGAAGAACUCCGAUUGCGAAGGCAGCCUGCUAAGCUGCAACUGACAUUGAGGCUCGAAAGUGUGGGUAUCAAACAGGAUUAGAUACCCUGGUAGUCCACACGGUAAACGAUGAAUACUCGCUGUUUGCGAUAUACAGCAAGCGGCCAAGCGAAAGCGUUAAGUAUUCCACCUGGGGAGUACGCCGGCAACGGUGAAACUCAAAGGAAUUGACGGGGGCCCGCACAAGCGGAGGAACAUGUGGUUUAAUUCGAUGAUACGCGAGGAACCUUACCCGGGCUUAAAUUGCAGAUGAAUUACGGUGAAAGCCGUAAGCCGCAAGGCAUCUGUGAAGGUGCUGCAUGGUUGUCGUCAGCUCGUGCCGUGAGGUGUCGGCUUAAGUGCCAUAACGAGCGCAACCCUUGUUGUCAGUUACUAACAGGUUCCGCUGAGGACUCCGACAAGACUGCCAUCGUAAGAUGUGAGGAAGGUGGGGAUGACGUCAAAUCAGCACGGCCCUUACGUCCGGGGCUACACACGUGUUACAAUGGGGGGUACAGAGGGUCGCUACCACGCGAGUGGAUGCCAAUCCCCAAAACCUCUCUCAGUUCGGACUGGAGUCUGCAACCCGACUCCACGAAGCUGGAUUCGCUAGUAAUCGCGCAUCAGCCACGGCGCGGUGAAUACGUUCCCGGGCCUUGUACACACCGCCCGUCAAGCCAUGGGAGCCGGGGGUACCUGAAGUGCGUAACCGCGAGGAGCGCCCUAGGGUAAAACUGGUGACUGGGGC